UGAUCCUACGGGGGGCAGCAGUGGGGAAUAUUGGGCAAUGGGCGCAAGCCUGACCCAGCAACGCCGCGUGAAGGAAGAAGGCUUUCGGGUUGUAAACUUCUUUUCUCAGGGACGAAGAAAGUGACGGUACCUGAGGAAUAAGCCACGGCUAACUACGUGCCAGCAGCCGCGGUAAUACGUAGGUGGCAAGCGUUAUCCGGAUUUACUGGGUGUAAAGGGCGUGUAGGCGGGACUGCAAGUCAGAUGUGAAAACCGCGGGCUCAACCUGUGGCCUGCAUUUGAAACUGUAGUUCUUGAGCA
rnacentral:rRNA from 1 species